rnacentral:tRNA from 1 species
GGGCCGUUAGCUCAGUUGGUAGAGCAUCGCCCUUUUAAGGCGAGGGUCGCAGGUUCGAAUCCUGCACGGCUCA